rnacentral:rRNA from 1 species
GAUGAACGCUGGCGGCGUGCCUAAUACAUGCAAGUCGAGCGAACGGACGAGAAGCUUGCUUCUCUGAUGUUAGCGGCGGACGGGUGAGUAACACGUGGAUAACCUACCUAUAAGACUGGGAUAACUUCGGGAAACCGGAGCUAAUACCGGAUGAUAUUUUGAACCGCAUGGUUCAAAAGUGAAAGACGGUCUUGCUGUCACUUAUAGAUGGAUCCGCGCUGCAUUAGCUAGUUGGUAAGGUAACGGCUUACCAAGGCAACGAUGCAUAGCCGACCUGAGAGGUGGGUCGGCACCCUGGGAACGUGACCGCGGCCCAGGCCCCUACGGGAGGCAGCAGGAGGGAAUCUUCCGGAAGGGGCGAAAGCCUGACGGAGCAACGCCGCGGGGGUGAUGAAGGUCUUCGGAUCGUAAAACCCUUUUAUUAGGGAAAAACAUAUGUGAAAGUAACGGUGCAAAUCUUGACGGUACCUAAACAGAAAGCCCCGGUUAAUUCCGG